GGUAACGCUGGCGGCAUGCUCCACACAUCCAAGUUGAACGAGCUUAAUUUCCUUAAGCUAAGUAGCGGACGGGUGAGUAGCGCGUAAGACUACCUUUAGGAGAGGAAUAACUAUUGGAAACGAUAGCUAAUACCUCAUAAACUGUGGAGUAAAAGGUGAAAGCCGCCUAAAGAUGGGCUUGCGUCUGAUUAGCUUGUUGGUAAUUUAAAAGGUUACCAAGGCAACGAUCAGUAGUUGGUCUAAGAGGAUGAUCAACCACACUGGGACUGAGACACGGCCCAGACCUCUACGGAGGGCAGCAGUGAGGAAUUUUCCGCAAUGGGCGAAAGCCUGACGGAGCAAUGCCGCGUGGAGGAUGAAGUGCUUGUGAGUCGUAAACUCCUUUUCUUAGCGAAGAAACAAGACGGUAACUAAGGAAUAACGCAUCGGCUAACUCCGUGCCAGCAGCCGCGGUAAUACGGAGGAUGCAAGCGUUAUUCGAACAUUAUUGGGCGUAAAGACGUCUGUAGGUUGCUUUUUAAAGUUCUACUGUUUCAACAUGUUAAGGCUUAACCUUAAAAGAGCGGUAAUGAAACUUAAAAGCUUGAGAUUUAAGU
rnacentral:rRNA from 1 species